CUUGUCUCUAUGAAGCAAUCGGAGGCUCUGAAGAACCUGAACAUGGGACGAAUGAUGCACCAGAGGAGAGCGAUUAUGAAAAUGUGAGGAUGGAAACAGCUGCAGGUACUUCAGAUGGUUAAAAACAUCUGCAUGGACAGAACCAGGGGAACGGAUGACGACAUGAAAAACCACAUCUGAGUAAUUGUAAUUAUUGUGGGAACUUCUUCCUUCCUGAUAUUUGAGCUUUGAGCUUCAGUACUUCGUUGAUAUUAUUCAAUAUAAAGUCCUAUUUUUUUAUUUCUGAUAAAAAAACGCAUUUAUUACACAUUUAAUCUGUUAUUG